AAAAGAUUGCAGGCGCCAAUAUACGCAACCAGUAUUUCAAAUGCUCCCAACCUUGAAAAACCUGGGUUUUAUAAAAAGGAUUUCAUACCAUUAAAUUGUAUGAUUUUUUUUUUUGAGUUCAAAAGUUGUGUAGCCACGAAAGAUUUCAAAUCCCCUAAAAUUCAAUAAGGGCGCGUUUGGUACGCGGGACGGGACGGAACAGGGUGGAACGAGGCGUUCCGUCCCGCGUUUGGUACGCCUAAAAUGAGUGGGACGAGGCGUUCCACGGGACAAGUUUUUGAUGAUUUUUGGUUCCACCUCCCCCCCUGGAACGGGUUGUUCCACGUCCGUGGGACAGAAAAUUUUAACAUUUUAGGACAAAAAUGCCCCUUGUAUUUUUCAAAAUUUACAGCAUCAAAAUCAUACAACAAACCCUAAAAACUAUUUCUCUUCUUCUCAGCCGCUGACCCUCCCCAUCUCUCCCCUUCGCAACCUUCCUCCUCAUCUUCUUCUCAGCCGCUGACUUUCUUGCACUGGGUUCCUCGUUGGCAGUCUCCGCUGAUGCGAUAAUCAAUGGAGAAACGUCUGCACCUUUGAAGAGAGAGAGAGAGAGAGAGAGAGCAAUUGAAGGCAAAUUCUUGUCAGAGAAAAACCCAUUUCUCUGCAGUCCACCAAAGCACUUCUCCGCUGAAGCUUCACCUUUCUGCUGAUUUUCAGCUUUCCGUUACUGUUUCUUCCGAGAUUUAUGAACAAGGAUUUCUCUCUGGUGAUUCUGUGGGUGAAGUCGGUUUCCUUUCUCUAGUUUUUACUGAUUUAUCAUCUAUGCCAUAUAAUUGUUUGGGAGUUUAUUGGAAUGUAAUUCAAUUCCUCUGUGUUUCAUUUUUCUUUGGCACACUACCCACUUACGAUUGAAAUCAAAUUCGUAUGGUCAGAUUUUUCGGGGAUAACCUUUUCUCUUCGUCCCCUGCUCUAUAUUUUCAUGUUUUUAUUGUCUCCUUUCUUUCUUUCUUUUUUUUUAUGUUUCAGAUAGUGACUAUGGGUCCUCUAUACAGAAAGAAAGUUAUCCAGAUAAACAUAGAGAAGGGAAGUGACUACUUGAUUUCCAUGGCAACUGGAA